UGCGCCGAUGGUACUGCAAGGGGGACCUUGUGGGAGAGUAGGACACCGCCGGAC
rnacentral:rRNA from 2 species